rnacentral:sRNA from 1 species
CAUUUUUAGAACCUGAAAUAUUGGGUGCUUUUCGUGCAGAUACUCAUACACAUACAGGGUAUCAAAAGCGAAAAGACAACGCAAGGCGAGCGGCGGCAGCGGCAGCAGAAAAAAGGGGGUGGGUGGACGGACGGACGGGUGAGGAGAGGAGAGAAAGGUUGAAAAUGGAAAACAUAUAGAAUUAACAUACACAUAUAAACAGAGGUACAACAAGAAGGAGACGCAACUACGGCGGCGACAGCCGGCAGAGCAGACGAGGAACGACGACGAAUGGCGGCAGGCAGGCAGGCAAACGAAGAAGGCAGGGCGCCGCAACUUUUGAGGUUACGUUACGAAAAACUAUGCGAAACGAAACGUUGUCGUCUGUGGGUCGGCUUGUUUAUGAGGAGCCUCUCCUGGCCAGGCCACCCACCCCAUAACAUGGCCAGAGAGAGCCGUGCCGAGCAGAGCUAGCAAGUGCAGCAGCAGUAGCAUGCGAAAAUCGCAGAAGUUGCCUCCCUCCGAGAGAGCUGCUGGGGCCCCUGGAAGACACACAAACACACACAGGAACAGUCACACGCACACAUUUAAUAUAAAAACAAACAUAAAGAUAAACCGUAAAAGAGACAUGUGAAAAACAAAGGCACGAGAACGAAACAGGAGCAGAGUGAGUGCGCAAAGGAGGGGGCGUGGCUGGCUCAGGGAGGAUACAGCUGAUGAAUAUUGAACUGAAUUAUUGAAUAUUCCAUCAAGAAAUUCAUUAUUUAUUUCAUCUUUUAUUAUUAUACGGUUGUUAGACGGCGACCAAUGUAUUCUUAUUGGGAAAAAUUCGUGUACACAAAUGCAAGCGUCCCCAGAGAGGGAGAGAGGAUAUUGAGAGAGCACUCGCUCGCACACACACACACACUGAAGAGAGCGCACAGUGCAAAUGUAAGAAAAAAGAAGAAGCAGCCAAAUGGCCGCCGCCGCCGCUGCUGCCGCUGCCAAGGAAGAAAAUGAUGGGACAAGGCGAAUAAUGAGGCGACACAUCCAAGAAAACAGACAAAUACACACGCACUGGCACACGAACGCACAAUCGGAAAAAUAUUUCACUAAAAUAUAAAAUAUUCAUUAUAUUCUGUUCCUCUUUAAUGUGUGUUUGCAGUCGGAAAUUGUGACCGCGCAGUCGGUAGCGACCCGGCCAAAAAAUUUAAUUGAUUUUUACCUUUUGGGGAAAAACAAUUUUGUUUCUUGCAGGUUUUUUUUUUGCAAACUAUUUUUAUACUUGUUUAAAUAUAAAAAGCGGUCUGGAUACACACACUCUACACACACAUGGCACGCUGUCGCCGCCGCCGUUGGUUGCCGCAGUCGAAAAGGAAACCCGAUGAUGACAAUGUAAAAAGAGGCAGGAGGAAAAAAUUCGGGAAUCGAAUCGAACUCAUUUUCUUUUUUUGGCACUUACACAUGCACUUAAAAACCAUUCACGACACGCUUAAGAUGAAGAAGAAGAAUACGGCUAAGAAUUCUUCAACGUCGCGUCCGUCGCAGAACGAUAAUAAAAGCGAAA